rnacentral:ncRNA from 1 species
UAGUUAUCAAGAGUGUAGCGAGAGCACUGGCUCGAUGACCUACCGGCAACCAUCGGAAAACGAAAGGUGCCAAUUCCAGCCCCAUAUUGGGGAAAGAUAAUAA